ensembl:lncRNA novel transcript, antisense to USP9Y
GGUGCAGACUCUCAGGUCAGAUGGUGAGGGCUGAUUGCGGGAGGUGGACAAGAAGUCUGGCCUAAUGACUAAGGACAGCUAACGCCUAACUCCGUUCCUCAUCACUCCACCUGGGUGACCGAUGCCGCUACCUCUUUGUCAUUCAGUAGCCCUCUUUACCUGUUUUGGCCUCGCUGCUAGGGCUGUCGCCGAGCUUACACGGACUCCAGGUGAUGAGUUUUUCUUGAGUCACUGCAAAGGCAGUUUCACUAGGCUUCACUUUUCUUUCUCGCGGUUUUCGGCCAGGUCUCUCCUGAGACACUCCUAUCUCCCGGUCCCGACACCAGCACCAAGCGCUCAGCAGCGGAACUGGCAACACCUUGGUGCCCUAGACGGAAACCUCAGUCCCGACUGAAGCGUAUUCAUCACCAACACUGGGAUAGCUGCAGCUAGGGCCACACAAUAAAAAUAGCCCAGGACGGCACUGGCUAUCCGCUGCCCCUUCAGCUAUAGAAUUCCUGUCCUUAAUCGCUUUUAGUUCUGUAACUGCUUGUGGAAACAGCUGAUUACUGGACAGGUGGGAGUACGAAAGGCGUUUAGUAAGACUGCAAAUCUGAUGUGAACUGGUAGGACGCAGAGUGUAUGGCAUAGUCAAGAAAGAAGUCAACGCCAGGCGAGGUGCUAUGGCUAAGGGAUUAAUCUUUUGUGUCCCAACUAUGUUGCUCUGACGGUUCCACUUGCACUACUGGUUUUUACUUCAUCGUUAAUCUCUGCUCUGGCCGAUAACAGCCUGCAUGAAAACAUCACCAGUUUUCAAGUUUUUCUCAGGAUGAACAGUACAUAGAAAAGUGAGCCUGAAUGCUGAGAUCCUGAGACCGUGCUGCGGCGCCUGGGAAUUCAUAGAGCAGCUUUUAAGGGGCCACCACUUCUCGCAUCGUGUGCCAUGCAAGUAAACCUACCCUAUCCUGAGACCCUUGCCUGGGGUGACUGGAAGAGCUGCUUCUGUAGAAUCCUGGGCCAGACCAUCUAUCUGGACGAAUAGGAGAAAAGCCUAGUUGUUGUCUCCUGCAAGAUGUAUUCAGUUGUAAUUUCGCCUUUGUUCCUUAAUCUGUUAGUAUGGUAUAUUACAUCGAUUAAUAUUUCAUAUUAAAUCAGUCAUGAAUUCCCAUUAUGA